rnacentral:tRNA from 1 species
UCCGCGGUAGCUCAAUCGGUGGAGCGUCCGGCUGUUAACCGGGUGGUUGCUGGUUCGAGUCCAGCCCGCGGAG